AGAGUGCUAAGGAUUGAGGGAUUAAGAGGAGGUGAUUGUAUUAUUCCUCUUUUCAGAUAAUGGAGAGAGAGAAGAGAACAGCAGUAGCCGUUGCCAGAAAUAUUGAUUGUUGGUGGCAUAUAUAAUGAGUGCUGGGUGUUAAGGAAGCAAUGGUGAAGGAGAGACACCCUCCCGACCCUCAUGGUGCUUGCAGCCUAGUGGAGCUAUGAAAAGAUAGGCAAGUGAGUCCUAUGAUUGGAGAAGUAAUGAGAAGUAAUGAGAAGCGUCUUCUAAGCAUAGGGGUAAAGACUGCAAAGACCCUGAAGGGAGAAAGUAAUGGCCAUUCUGAGAACUGAAAGUUUGCACAGUGCACAGAGGGCAUGAAGAACGAAGGAAAGAGAUUUUUUUUUUUUUUUUUUUGCCCAAGAUGGCAAGUUGCUUAAAACCUAAAGCUCCUUUCAAUUCUUUACAAUCCAAGAUUAUAUGGAAUGGACUGGGAACAAAGAGAGGGACUGGCAUUUAAAGUCUUUUAUACACUUUGGAACAAAUGUUAUUCUCCAUUCAUCCUGACACUAAAUUGGUUAGCCAAACCCAAAGAUCUACUAAUAAUCCUGCUUUGGCAUGGGAGAAUGAGUGAGAUAAGGAGGCAAUAGAGGAGAUGAAUCGACAAAUGGAAGGAAUAGAAUUCUGGUUGAUGUCCUUGUCUCUAAGCUGUAGCAGCAAGUAUUUAUCCUAAUCAUGUGGUGUUAGCACGGAGAUGAGAAAGAGAGAAAGACAACAUCAUGCUUUGCUGUCUGUGUGUGAACUGAGUAACAGCUGUGAAGGAUCAGUCACCAAAAGACUUUGAAAGAAGAGGCUUGAUUGGUCACGGUAAUGAUGCUCCCCUGGCCAUGGAAGUUUAAUUGGGAGAAAAGAACAUCUGCUUAUACGAAAACAUAUUAUAUUCAGCCAUCCCUGCCCUGACUUUGGCCUUUAAAAACAGUGGCAUUAAUUAUCUCAACAAAUGAAUCUUCGGGAUAAAAAUAAUCUAAAUAUUAUUUUACGCUUACUACAUAUUUGCAACGUGCUAAGCUCUUUAUGGUUGCUACCACAAAAAACAUUUAUAAUAUGAGGUGGGUAUUUUUAUUAUAUACAUUUUCAGUUUAAAGACAGUAACUUCAGAAUGUAACUUGUCCUAGUCACACAAAAGCAGGUGUGGACUAAAACUCAAACCCAUGAUUCUUUCACUUUAAAUGAUAUGGUUCUGAACCAUUAAAUUCGAAUGCUACUAAGAAUGGUGAAUGCUAAGCAAUGUUAAGCUACACAUUGUUAUUAUUAACAAAUAAUUUCAAAAGGGCAGGAGAGGUAGGUUAAAAAUUAAAGGGUUAAGCUGGAAUAACAUGUCAAAUUUCUCAGAGUUUUUUAUUUUCAUGAAAAAAUAUAUUUUAUAUUGCAACAGAAUGAACUUGACUUAACAGUUUAGGUAGCUGAUUGCAUAUAUUUUGAUAGUCCUAUCAUAUUUCCAACAAAUACAUUUUCUCCCCACCCCACCUGCAACUGGAGACUUCACAAGGUUAGGAACAGGCUUCACUUCAUUGUGAUGUGUGUAAGGUGACAGAGGACAUAUAACGAAUACGUGGAAGAACUAGGAAUUUGACCUUAGCUUCCAGACAUUUUGAGGAGGAUACACUAUGUCCAUCUUGCUUUCCUAUCAAGAAAAGUAUACCCAGUUUGUGCAGUAGCCCUGUACCAACAGAUACAUUACAGCAGGUUGUUUCCGUAUUUUGGCUAUUGUGAAUAGUGCUGCAAUAAACAUGGAAGUGCUGAUAUAUCUUUGAGAUCUUGACUUCAAACAAAAGAAGAAAAUCUUGCAAUAUAUGACAACACGGAUUAACCUGGAGGACAUUGUGCUUAGUGAAGUUAGCCAGUCACAGACUGACAAGUACUGCACGAUUCCACUUAUGAAGACUACAGUUCCUAUCUUCACAGGUGGCUGUUAGCUCUAAAUGAACUCAUUUAUUUUGAAAGCAUGAUUUAAAGUAUAGUUUUAAACUAUAAGCAUUUCAGAAGUGAUGACCCAUGACUCAAAUCUCAAAAAUAAAUGCUACAGUUCACAGUUGGAAUAUGGACACAAGAAAAAUAAUAGGUGAGUAAAAAAAGAAUUUUUACCACAGAACAAAAGUUUAUUAAACACAAUUAUGAAUGAAUAUUAAUGUCAACAGAGUGCUUUUUAGAUGCCUCCUAAGCUUUGUAUGCACCUAAAAGAGAUACAAGUCAGCUCAGCUGCUAAGGAAUAGGCAGACCAGAAUGCAGUCAGAGAAAUAAACAGUUGAACAGAUAAUUCCAAAAGGAUGUGAUAAGUGUUAUGGGGGGAAUUCGGAGAAAGUGCCGAGGCAUCACACAGGAGAGACCAGCUGUCCCUGGCAUAGCUGGUGGAGAUCUUAUUAAACAACGAUACUAAGGCUGACUCUUGACUAUGAAACGAAUUUCACAGAGAAACAAGCAAAAAAGCAAUAGAAAUAUUAAUUUGUGUACCCUAUUUCAUGACAAUUAUAUACAAAAACAGAACGUUCAAAGCCUUAGGCAAUAAAACUGAUAUUUCUUGCAACAGGCUUUGGCCAAAAAAGAGUGCAGUUCUGUGAUGAAUAUCAGCUUCAUCAACAUGCCCCAGGCACCGUGAUGUCCCUCCUCUGCUCUGCUGCAUAACAGGGUGGAGACCAAAUCCAACAGUAUGAACAAGCAUCCAUCAAAACCACAGUUCUAUUAUUGAGACCAUUUCUGAUUGAAUUUCCUCAGCAGACUAUCCAAGUCGUCAUGUUCAUCAAGGUAUUCAAUUUAAAUGACCAUUAAAACGAAAUUAAGUUGGUAUUAACCUUGUCUUUUCAGAUGAUGCCACUGAAAGGUAAACAUACCAUUCUGACAUGCAUGAAAAUGAAACGACAAAUUGAUACACGCAGUGCUUGGAAUGGAUGGAGUCCUUCUAAUGAGUGAUUACCUGUGGUAUAACUAUAUUGAUUGUGUUUGUACAUGUCAAAUGGGGCUGGCGAGGAUGAACUUGAAGAAAUCAAUCUUGGAACCUGCUAGGACAGCAGCCUCCUGGUUUCACAGUACUAAAUCAUGACUUCAAAAUUUUGAAGUAAAAGAAAACUGCAAAACUUUGUAAAGGUACCAGUCUCUUCCUGACACUAUUUGCCUUGGCAAAAGAUUCACUGUCAACUUAAAAGACUAACAUGUGCUCAGAUGAUGAUUUGUGGAGGACAGAUAAUUAUGAGUACAUUUAGAAAUACACACUCUUCCAAACCCUGCUCUUUCCAUAUAAUGAAGUUAUUUAUUUCUAUUUUUUAUUUAUUUUUCUAAUAAUUACAAACAUACUUUGGAGACCCACAUUCCUGUAUUAUUCUUUCAACAUACUGAAGAAGAGUUAUUUCUAUGCUUCUUUCUAUGUGUUGGGCUUAAGAUUUAUUAGAAGGAAUGUGUAAAAACAAAGGCAGCAAAGUUUCUAUUUUUAUUGGGAGUCACUCCCGGAGUAAGUGGGGAUAGUUGUGCACACACACACACACACAUUCAUGCACAAAGAAAGAGUGAUCAAGUGUAUAACACACUUUUAGCAGUGUUUUGCUGGAAGAAUAAAGUAUAACUCCUUGUCCGCCCUUUUAUUAUACUGGGGUUCACACUAAGAGAGUCUGAGGACCUGUGGAACUCCCAUUUGCAUGAAAUAACUUUUGCAUCUAUUCUGGAGGAAAACUUCCUAAGGCAGAUUUGGACAGAAAAUUGCUAUCAGCGCAAAUAAAACAAUGCAAAGCCUACUCCGGGGAACGUUGCUCUGCCACCACUACUGAAAUGGGUCAUCCCCUUGGUUUCUGAAUAAAGAAUUAUGAAACCUGGGGCUAGAAUGCUCAGGGAGGAAUUUACCAAUCCAAAUCUUCCCCUUAUGGUAGAGAACAAACUUUCAAGGUUUGUUCUCCACUGUAAGUGUGCGAGGGCUGUUAGGGACCGUAAUAUGGCUGCCGGAGACUGGUGUGUGUACCUCCUUGACUGUACGUCUCAUUUCCAGUUAUGAUUUUACAAUCAUCUCUUUCUCAACCUUUGCUUUUAAAUAUAGGAAGGUACGGCUCACCAUGGAGCGGACAUUUUCUUCAGGAGCGGUACGGUGUCUAAGAUAUGCAGAGGUUGUAUUCUAGUCCUAUAACUCAAUUCUCAAACACAUGGCUUUUAGCCAGGGAUAUCCUAAAGGAAAAUUACACUAUAUGCAACCCCUCCUUACUCCUCAAAUAUUAUCUAUAUUAAACACAGCUGAAAUUUGAGAGUGUCCUUACAGGUGAAAAUUUAACAAUUUAACAAAAGGACACUGCUGAAUGUGUGGGGACAAAGGAAGGAUGAAUCUUUCAUCAUGACAAAAGACUACUUGCCACAUUCUCCCUUAACUUAGAAAAACAGAAAAGAGGCUGGGCGUGGUGGCUCCUGCCUGUAACCUCAGCACUUUGGGAG
rnacentral:lncRNA from 1 species